UACGGGGGGGGGCAAGCGUUGUUCGGAAUUACUGGGCGUAAAGGGCUCGUAGGUGGCCAACUAAGUCAGACGUGAAAUCCCUCAGCUUAACUGGGGAACUGCGUCUGAUACUGGAUGGCUUGAGUUUGGGAGAGGGAUGCGGAAUUCCAGGUGUAGCGGUGAAAUGCGUAGAUAUCUGGAGGAACACCGGUGGCGAAGGCGGCAUCCUGGACCAAUACUGACACUGAGGAGCGAAAGCCAGGGGAGCAAACGGG
rnacentral:rRNA from 1 species